AACAUCGCGCACCUGCGGGAACCUGCGGAAGGAUCAUUACGGAGUGUGACCCCCCUCUUAAAAUAGGGGGUAUCUCCCGUCCUUUGUUGGGGUCCCUUAAAAUUUUUAGGGGACUUUAAAACAAAACUUUUUUCUGCUUCGGUGGGGUAACCCACCGGAACACCCUCAAAAAAAUUCUUUGAACAGUUCAGUCCGAUUAUUUUUUGAAAAUAAAAUCAAAACUUUCAACAACGGAUCUCA
rnacentral:misc_RNA from 1 species